rnacentral:tRNA from 1 species
ACCUGGCUGGCUCAGUUGGUGGAGUGAGUGGAAGACUCUUGAUCUUAGGAUGUGGGUUCAAGCCUCAUGUUGGGUG